rnacentral:lncRNA from 1 species
AAGAAGAAAUUACAAUAAUCAAUUGUUAAUGAAGACCAAAAAUGCCAAAAUGGCUACAAUAUCGUUCCCAAGCGCUCAGCUGCGUUCAGAAUACAAAACAUAACCUAAAUAUGGUUAAAUGUUCUAUUUAUACUAGGCUGAAAAAACUGGACAAAAAUACCCAUGCGGGGUUAGUGCGGACCGCACGAAAGCAACCGCGGUCGCACUGGCUAUUGACUUGGAAAUUUUCAACUCUCUGAACUAGAGGACGUGGACCGCGCAAAUG